CAAUAACUUUUCAUGAGUAGCAAGAGAUAAGUACUUUCAUUAAUUAACACACCAAAUUUUAUUAUUUUAAUUGUUAUAGACAUGCUAUUAUUAAACUUAACUAUUCACCUUUUUAGAUAAAAAAAAUGUAACAGAAUCAAGGUAGCUAGUGGUAAUUACGGUAAGUAGAAUAUCAAAUCACUUUUCACCAGGAUCAAUCCCACAUUACUGUGAUGAGAAGUGAAGUGGGUGUGGGUCAAAGAGUCUUUGAAUGUCGGCGUAAGUCUUGGCACUACGCGAUCGGUGAUUGCGGACGUGAAACUUGCCACGUGACUUGUGUGAAGGACAAAGCAGUUUCUGAACCUGGAAUAGUAGAUGUAUCGUCAGAGUGCCAGGGACUCACUUGUUUUUGCCGAUAUUGGUGCCUUGGGGAGAAAAUAUAGUAAUAAUAUAAUGGGGCCUUAUAGUGUACAGAUGUGGGUGUACAGAUUUUUGUCUUUUUGUGGCUGAAAAGCGUGUCACUAAAAGUGUUACUUAAAGAAAAAGUGUUACCCUUAAUCGUUAACUUGGCUCUGAUACCACAUUUUACCAUUUCUAUCCAAUUUUUUACUAGUCCUUGAUGUA